rfam:Jannaschia aquimarina strain GSW-M26 jaqu_contig000065, whole genome shotgun sequence.
CCUUUCGGGGAUCGCCCUCCGCCAGCGUUGUACGCCCGCGGGGGCGUUUGCG